rnacentral:tRNA from 1 species
GCCUGAGUGGCUCAAUUGGUUAAGCGUCUGACUCUAGAUCUCAGUUCAGGUCUUGACCUCAUUGUCAUGAGUUCAAGCCUCAUGUUGGGCU